rnacentral:rRNA from 1 species
UACAGAGGGUGCAAGCGUUGUUCGGAAUUAUUGGGCGUAAAGCGCGUGUAGGCGGCUUUGCAAGUCGGGUGUGAAAGCCCUCGGCUCAACCGAGGAAGUGCGCCCGAAACUGCAGAGCUUGAGUACCGGAGAGGAUGGCGGAAUUCCCCAAGUAGAGGUGAAAUUCGUAGAUAUGGGGAGGAACACCGGUGGCGAAGGCGGCAUCCUGGACCGGUAUUGACGCUAAGGCGCGAAAGCCAGGGGAGCAAACGGG